GUCUAUCCUUGAUUAAUUAGUAUGGUAAACAUUUAUUUUGCAAUUAAUUCAUGUUUAUGUGCAGGAAGAGUCAUUCUGUAUAUGUGAUAGAUGUCUCCUCCUAAUUUAUUCUUGUUUUGCUUUAGUGGCUCCCAAGGAUGACUCCUCAAAAAUCUUGUAUUUUUCCAGGUUGUUAAUCAAUUUCCUGAUAUGUUCCAAACUUAGUAGAAAUGGAUAACCUCUUGUCACUGAGGAAGAGUCUCUGUGGUGCCCAUAACCCAGAAUAGAGCAUCUUGGCGCAUGCUUUUUUCUUCAUUUUUUUUCAAGAGCUCCAAUAUAACCAGCAGCUGUUCUACACCAAGGAGAGGGGGGUUCCUUCAAGUCCUCUCCAAGCUGACAGUCUUUCACUAGACUUCCUCUGGACUUACAAGUUCAUCAUGGUAACCAGGACCAUCACAGCCACUAAAGAAAAAUGUCUAUGUGCAGGGACUCCAACCUGAGCCACCACAGUUGGAGGCUUCCUUUGUGUGAAUAAGGCUGGUCCUAGCUGGCAAUCUCUGGAUCAGAGACCUCCUGGACUACAGCAGGAAAACUGGGUGGGCCUCUUAAUGCUUGGCUAGCAGACAGGCUGUCCUGCCUCGGGUGUCUCAGCAGUGCUCCAAGGAGGCUGAAAGUGGUUCCUUAUUCCCAGAUCUUUAUCAACGCUAAUCCUUACACAAUUAAAGGUUCUUAGUAAUGAAUUACACAAGCUAAAGAGUUAGGAUAUCACAAAAAUGUAUAUUUACUAAUAAAAAUAUAAAAUAACAGCAUGUAUCAUGUAUAUUGCCUUGAAUAAAGAACUUAGACUAUGCUGGGAUUAUGGGGUAAAAUCUUUUUUGCGUCAUCCCAAACCACAGGUCUCCACCACCAAAAGACUUUUUGAAGAAUUCUCCAUGACCUCUGAAAGCCUGCCUCCUUUCGGCCUUCAGAGUGGCAGCAGUGGGUUGGUGUAGAUGGCAAUGCCUGACUUGACUCUGCUGCUCAGUUUUCAUCUGCCAACCUGCCAACUGACAGCACCCCAGGCCUGUGUUCGAUGUACAAUGCCCCAAAUAAAGGUAAAAUCCCUUUCAGG